AAGAUAGGUUCUCACCUUAAGGUGGUUCUCAAAGGAACCUAAAUCUAUAUAUAUAUAUAUAGGGAUCCGGUGAAAAUAGGUCCCUAUGUGAGUAUACUAGUAUAUAUGAGAAUGAAUCUAAUCCGUAGGAUUAGAUUAAUUUCAUGGGCUAGGAUUAAAAGAAAUUAAUGGCAAUAUUGUAAAUAACCUCCCACCUACCAAAUAAUAAAAAAGUAUACGUUUCUCUCUCUAAAGAUAAUAUUAGAUGUUCACACUCUCUCUCUCUAAAAUUCAACCUUCUUCCUCUCUCUCACAAUUUUCUCUCCUCAAAAAACUUCCAUUAAAGCUUAAAAAACGUUGAUGAAGCUUCAAUUCAUUCGAUUAUUAGCUGAUUUCAGAUUGAAGAUGAAGGAAGUAGAAAAUUCCGAAAAUUAAGCCGAAAAACCUACGAACAAAGAAGAGAAAAUUCAAAUGUCGGAAAUGAGAAUUAACACGUCAACAUCAGAGUCACAAAGCACAGGGAAACCGAAGCUCACCUCGAUGAAGAAACUGGUCUGAGUAAAGGAGGGACAUGGCUUGCUGAUGUGCAACAUAAUGUGGAACCAAUUGCUGAGCACGAUAUUGAGGAGGUGAGCCAGAAACAUCGGAAACCAGAAACAUGUUGCAAAGAGGAAAGAGAGGACAAAAAAUAUUGUUAGAGAUGUCAAGAAGCACGUACAAGUCUGUAGUUGAGGUGCGUUCAGGGCCACAAAACUGUGUAGAAGUGUAUAAAGAAUCAAGACCGGUGGAGAAAGCUAGACUCGUUGCGCCUGUUACUUGCAUGUGUGUGUGUGUGGUCUUUCAUGUGUACAUGUGUCAAUUCAGAACAUUGAUUUGGAGAAUUCAAAACAUUUAGCUUAAGAAUGCAGAACAUUUAGUUUGGGAACUCAGAACAUCUAGUUUAAGAAUUCAGAUAAUUUAGUUUGGGAAUUCAGAACAACUACUUUGUGAAUUCAUGACAUCUACUUUGUGAAUUCAUAACAUAUACUUUGUAUAUUCAGAACAUAUGCUAUUUUAUUGUUUCUAAUAUUCAAAAUUUAAUUCAUUGCAGUUUGGGAAAAUGAAGAGAUAUUGUGCAAGAUAUUGGCGCACAAGCAAAAUAAUGAACUUCAUGUUAUGAUUU